ACACGCCCUAUUUGCUGCCUGCACUUCCACACAGACUCUCAAAUCCUGGUAAAUUGAAUUUAAUCAUUUCCUGACAAAAGAAUGCAAUUUCAACUGACCCUUCUUUUGCACUUUGGGUGGCUCAGUUACUCGAAAGCUCAAGAUGACUGCAACAGGGGUGCCUGUCAACCCUCCACCGGUGAUCUCUUGGUAGGCCGCAACACACAGCUUACAGCUUCUUCUACCUGCGGGCUGAACAGAGCUCAGAAAUACUGCAUCCUCGGUUACCUAGAGGGGGAACAAAAAUGCUUCAUCUGUGACUCCAGAUUUCCGUAUGACCCAUAUACCCAACCCCACAGCCAUACCAUUGAGAAUGUCAUUGCAGGUUUUGAGCCAGAUAGAGAAAAGAAGUGGUGGCAAUCCGAAAAUGGUCUUGAUCAUGUCAGCAUCAGAUUGGACCUAGAGGCAUUAUUUCAGUUCAGUCAUCUAAUCUUGACAUUUAAGACUUUUCGGCCUGCUGCAAUGUUAGUUGAACGGUCCACAGACUAUGGACAUACCUGGAAAGUGUUCAAGUAUUUUGCAAAAGAUUGUGCCGCUUCCUUUCCUGACAUCAUGUCUGGCCAGGCCCAGCGAGUGGGAGACCUUGUUUGUGACUCCAGAUAUUCGAAUAUUGAGCCCUCAACUGGUGGUGAGGUUGUUUUAAAAGUUUUGGAUCCCAGUUUUGAAAUAAAAAACCCUUACAGCCCCCACAUACAAGACCUUGUGACAUUAACAAACCUGAGGAUAAACUUUACCAAACUCCACACCCUUGGAGAUACUUUGCUUGGAAGAAGGCAAAAUGAUUCCCUUGAUAAAUACUACUAUGCUCUGUACGAGAUGGUGGUUCGGGGAAGCUGUUUUUGCAAUGGCCACGCUAGUGAAUGUGGCCCUACACAGAAAGUACGGGGAGAUGUUUUCAGCCCUCCCAGAAUGGUUCAUGGUCAUUGUGUCUGUCAGCACAAUACAGAUGGUCUGAACUGUGAGAGAUGCAAGGACUUCUUCCAGGAUGCCCCUUGGAGGCCAGCUGCAGGCCUCCAGGAUAACGCUUGCAGAUUGUGUAGCUGUAACAGCCACUCUGACCGCUGUCACUUCAACAUGACCACGUACCUGGCGAGCGGCGGCCUCAGCGGAGGCGUAUGCGAUGACUGCCAGCACAACACCGAUGGGCAGCACUGCCACCGCUGCAGAUCACUCUUCUACAGGGACCCCCUCAAAGCCAUCUCGGAUCCCUAUGCGUGCAUUCCUUGUGAAUGUGACCCUGACGGGACCAUAUCUGGUGGCAUCUGUGUGAGCCACUCUGACCCCUCCGUGGGGUCUGUGGCCGGCCAGUGCCUGUGUAAGGAAAACGUGGAAGGAGCCAAGUGUGACCGGUGCAAGCCCAACCACUACGGACUGAGCGCCACUGAUCUCCUAGGCUGCCAGCCCUGCAACUGUAACCCUCUUGGGAGUCUGCCACUCUCGGCCUGUGAUGUGGACACGGGCCAAUGCUUGUGCCAGUCUUAUGCUACCGGACCACACUGUGAGGAAUGUGCUGUUGGAUACUGGGGCCUGGGAAGUCACCAAGGAUGUUCUCCCUGUGACUGUGAUAUUGGAGGUGCUUACUCUAAUGUGUGCUCACCCAAGGAUGGGCAGUGUGAAUGCCGCCCCCACAUCACUGGCCGCAGCUGCACUCAACCAGCCCCCGGGUACUUCUUUGCUCCUUUGAAUUUCCAUAUCUACGAGGCUGAGGAAGCCACGCCCCUCCAAGGACUUGCACCUUUGGGCUCCGUGACUUUUGACCAGGGGCCUGCAGUUCACGUUGUUUUAGGAGAGCAAGUUCCUGGGAACCAUGUUACAUGGACUGGACCUGGAUUUGCCAGGGUUCUCCCUGGGGCUGGCUUGAGAUUCACUGUCAACAACAUUCCCUUUUCCAUGGACUUCACCAUUGCCAUUCGCUAUGAAACCCAGUCUGCAGCCGACUGGGCUGCCCGGAUCUUGGUCACCCCGCAUGGAAGGAGUGAGUACUGCACACCUAAGUCCCCACAGUCAAAGCCUCAGCCUUUCACCUUACCAGCGGCUGCCAGAAUCGUGUUGCUUCCCACAUCCAUCUGUUUGGAGCCAGAUGCACAGUAUUCCAUAGACAUCUAUUUUUCUCAGCCUUUGGAAGGGGAGUCCCACGCGCAUUCGCACAUACUGGUGGAUUCGCUUGGCCUUAUUCCCCAAAUCAAUUCAUUGGAGAAUUUCUGCAGCAAGCAAGACUUAGAUGAGUAUCAGCUGCACAACUGUGUUGAAAUUGCCUCAGAAAUGGGACCCCAAGUUCUCCCUGGUGCCUGUGAAAAGCUUAUCAUCAGCAUGUCUGCCAAGCUAUACAAUGGAGCCGUGGCCUGCAAAUGUCAUCCUCAGGGCUCAUUUGGGUCCAGCUGCAGCCCACUUGGGGGCCAGUGCCAGUGCAAACCUCAUGUGGUUGGGCGCUGCUGUGACAGGUGCUCAACUGGAAGCUAUGGUCUGGGACAUCAUGGCUGUCACUCAUGCCACUGCCAUCCUCAAGGAUCAAAGAAUACUGCAUGUGACCAAAUAACAGGACAGUGCUCCUGCCACGGCGAGGUGACUGGCCGCCGCUGUGACCACUGCUUGGCAGGCUACUAUGGAUUCCCCAACUGCCGCCCUUGCCCUUGUAAUGGUUUUGCUGAACUUUGUGAUCCAGAGACAGGGUCGUGCCUCAAUUGUGGAGGCUUCACAAUGGGCAGAAACUGUGAAAGGUGCAUCGAUGGUUACUAUGGAAAUCCUUCUUCAGGACAGCCCUGUCAUCCUUGCCUGUGUCCAGAUGUUCCCUCUAGCAGUCAGUAUUUUGCUCACUCCUGUUAUCAGAAUCCUUGGAGCUCAGAUGUACUCUGCAAUUGUCUUCAAGGUUAUACAGGUAUUCAAUGUGGAGAAUGCUCUGCUGGUUUCUAUGGAAAUCCAAGAAUUUCAGGAGCACCCUGCCAGCCAUGUGUCUGCAACAACAACAUAGAUGUAACUGAUCCAGAGUCCUGCAACCGGGUGACAGGGGAGUGCCACAAAUGUCUGCACAACACUCACGGCCCAGAUUGCCAGCUCUGCAAACCAGGCCACUUUGGAUCGGCCCUCAAUCAGACCUGCAGGCGUAAGAUGCUCCUGCCAUCCUUCUGGUGUGAGACCUGCCAAGUGUCCUUCUGGUGGGGGAGCUUGCCUCUGUGACCCUGUCACUGGCGCAUGCCCUUGUCUGCCAAAUGUUGCAGGCCAGAACUGUGACCGUUGUGCUGACGGAUACUGGAACCUGGUCCCUGGCAGAGGAUGUCAGUCAUGCAACUGUGACCUUCGGACCUCUGAAAGUAGCCACUGUGACCAGUUUACAGGCCAGUGUCUGUGUAAAUUAGGCUAUGGUGGGAAACGUUGCAUUGAGUGCAAGGAAGAUUAUUAUGGUGAUCCACUGAGGCGAUGCAAUCCAUGCGACUGCAACGAGGCAGGUACCCAGAAGCCCACCUGUGACCCAGGCACUGGCAUGUGCCACUGCAGGGAGGGUGUCAGUGGCCAGAGAUGUGAUCGUUGCGCCCGGGGUCAUGGCCAGGAAUUCCCUACUUGUCUUCGAUGUCACUUGUGCUUUGAUCAAUGGGACCACACCAUUUCUUCCCUCUCCAAAGUGGUACAAGGGUUAAUUAGGCUGGCUGCUAACAUGGAAGAUAAAAGAGAGAUGCUGCCUGUCUGUGAGGCAGACUUCAAAGGCCUCAGAGAGAACAUGUCUGAAAUAGAAAGGAUUUUGAAACAUCCUGUUUUCCCAUCUGGGAAAUUCUUAAAAGUCAAGGAUUAUCAUGACGCUGUUAGAAAACAAAUCAUGCAGCUGAAUGAACAAUUGAAAGUUGUGUAUGAAUUUCAAGAUCUAAAAGAAACAAUAGGAAGAAUUAAGAAUGAAGCAGACCUCUUACUUGAAGACCUUCAGGAAGAAAUUGAUUUGCAAUCCAGGGUCCUUAAUGCAAGUAUCCUGGACUUCUCAGAAAAUAUCAAGAGGUAUUAUCACAUGUCAUCAUCUGCUGGAAAGAAAAUUAAUGAAACUAGUUCCAUCUUAAAGAACUCUGAAAGUACCAGGAAUGACUUAUUUACCAUCUUGAAUACACUAACAUCAAAAGGAAACUUGACACUGGAAAAAUUAAAGCAGAUUAAGAUUCCAGAUAUCCAAAUGUUGAAUGAAAAGGUAUGCGGAAGUCCAGGGAACUUGCCAUGUGUGCUGUCGCCCUGUGGUGGUGCUCUCUGCACUGGCCCUGAGGGGCACAGGCGGUGUGGUGGUUCCAGCUGUCAUGGCUCCCUGACACUCUCAAGGAAGGCCCUCCAAAAAGCCCAGCAAGCAGAAUCCAUGAUUCACAAUUUGGACCCCCAGGUUUAUGAGUUGAAGAAUCAGAUCGAAAAUAUAAGUAAACUGGCAGAAAUCUUCAAAAACAAUGCCUUACAGCUAAAUGAGAAACUGGAAGACAUAAAAAAUCAAAGUGAAUCAGAAGAAAAAAUCAAAUUUUUAAUCCAAAAAGUGAAAAACUUUUUGUUAGAGGAAAACGUGCCUCCAGAAGACAUAGAGAAGGUUGCGAAUGGUGGGCUUGACAUUCACUUACCAGUACCAUCACAAAAUCUAACCAAUGGACUUGACGCAAUACAGAAACUUAUGCAACUCUGUGAGGACUACAGGGCAGAUGAAAAUAGGCUAAAUAAAGCAGCAGAUGGAACCCAAAAGCUUUUGGUGAAGGCCAAAGUAGCUGAGAAAGCAGAAAAUGUUCUAUCAAAUCUUGACAAAAUGUUGAACAAGUUGCAACAAGCUCAGAUCACUCAAGGGUGGGCUAACUCUACUAUCACACAGCUGACUGCUGAGAUAACAAAAAUAAAAAAGAAUGUGCUGCAGGCUGAAAACCAAGCCAAAAACAUGAAAAAUGAACUGGACUUAGCAAAGCCGCAGUCAGAGCUGGAAAAUGGACUUUCCUUGCUACGGACCAAGCUGCAAAGUAAUCAAGAGCAAGCUGUCAGUGCGAGAGUUCAGGCUGAAUCUGCCCAACACCAGGCUGGGAACGCAGAGAAGGAGUUUGUUGAGCUGAAAAAACAACAUGCUCUUCUUCAAUAUAAGACAAGCUCUUCAGGACUGACAAAGGAGACAUUAGGAAGAGUUAAACAGCUAAAAGACGCUGCAGAAAAACUGGCUGGAGAUACAGAGGACAAGCUAAGAAGAAUAACAGAUUUAGAAAAGAGGAUCCAAGAUUUGAACCUAAGUAGACAAGAAAAAGCUGAUCAACUGAAACAAUUGGAAGAUCAAGCUAUUGCCAUUAAAAAUGAAAUAGUUGAACAGGAAAAUAAGUAUACUACCUGCUAUAACUAGGCAGAGUUCAAGUGCAAAUGCUUGUGCCUUUGUUUCUGGCUUCUGAUGCACAAGUCCACAGAGCUGUUCUGAUCUUCUGAAACUCUUUCAGGCUUUCUACCUUCUCUUCCCCACAGCCUCUCUUCACUACAGAUCUGCUCAGUGUGGCUGGAUUGAGAAACUGGCCCAGAAAAUGCCACUUCAUAAUAGAAGGAGAGAAGUAAGCAGAUUGGGUCUGUUUCAAAAAUCUUUCCUCUUGCCUCUCUUUCUCUUUCAUAACUUAAAAAUAAUUAGUUACACAUGACAAUGUAAAUAAGUACUCUAUUGAGUAAUAAUCAUUCCAGUCAAAAAUGAACCUAAACAUUAAAUAAAUAUCUCCACUACUAGACUGGGUGAUACAUACAAAUGGCAUUUACUAGAUUGUCUUUUAUUUUAUAUUUAUUUGGAUCUGCUUUCAUUUGGAAAACUAUUAUUCUAUUCAGAAUAAAAUGCAUACAAUUCAAAAU